AUGGAGCAACGCCGCGUGAGUGAAGAAGGGUUUCGGCUCGUAAAGCUCUGUUGGUAGUGAAGAAAGAUAGAGGUAGUAACUGGCCUUUAUUUGACGGUAAUUACUUAGAAAGUCACGGCUAACUACGUGCCAGCAGCCGCGGUAAUACGUAGGUGGCAAGCGUUGUCCGGAUUUAUUGGGCGUAAAGCGAGUGCAGGCGGUUCAAUAAGUCUGAUGUGAAAGCCUUCGGCUCAACCGGAGAAUUGCAUCAGAAACUGUUGAACUUGAGUGCAGAAGAGGAGAGUGGAACUCCAUGUGUAGCGGUGGAAUGCGUAGAUAUAUGGAAGAACACCAGUGGCGAAGGCGGCUCUCUGGUCUGCAACUGACGCUGAGGCUCGAAAGCAUGGGUAGCGAACAGGAUUAGAUACCCUGGUAGUCCAUGCCGUAAACGAUGAGUGCUAAGUGUUGGGAGGUUUCCGCCUCUCAGUGCUGCAGCUAACGCAUUAAGCACUCCGCCUGGGGAGUACGACCGCAAGGUUGAAACUCAAAGGAAUUGACGGGGGCCCGCACAAGCGGUGGAGCAUGUGGUUUAAUUCGAAGCAACGCGAAGAACCUUACCAGGUCUUGACAUCCAGUGCAAACCUAAGAGAUUAGGUGUUCCCUUCGGGGACGCUGAGACAGGUGGUGCAUGGCUGUCGUCAGCUCGUGUCGUG
rnacentral:rRNA from 1 species